AGUGCUCGGUUUGGGAACGGCGUUGGGCUUGUGCGCACUUCUGAUUUUAUCUCUCACUUAUUUAUUACUGAGGAGAAGAAAAUGUGAUAAAAUGAAAGCUUCUCUAGAAGAUUCUCCAGGAACGAGGCAGGAAUCUGAUGCUGAAACACUGAAUUACGCGGCUUUGCAAUUUUCCAAGAGGAAAGCCAAAGGUGAAAAAUGGAAAGCUGGCUCAUCAGAUGAGUGUGUGUACUCUGAUGUGAAAAAUAACUGUAAUACAUAACAUAAAUGAUUCAAACACAUGACAUGUUUAAAAUAAUUCCUCUUAUUCCUUUACUUUUAUUUCCUCAUUAUUGAAAAUACAUGCAACGUCUCUUGUACAUAGUUUGUGGCCUUGUCUAUAUGAAGAUGUAAUACAUAUGGAAAAAUAAA